rnacentral:rRNA from 1 species
GACGAACGCUGGCGGCGUGCCUAAUACAUGCAAGUCGAACGCAGUGGGGACGGGUGAGUAACACGUGGGUAACCUCCCAUCAGAGGGGAUAACACUUGGAAACAGGUGCUAAACCGAUACUGAUGGAUGGACCCGCGGUGCAUUAGCUAGUUGGUGAGGUAAAGGCCUACCAAGGCGACGAUCAGUAGCGGGUCUGAGAGGAUGAUCCGCCACACUGGGACUGAGACACGGCCCAGACUCCUACGGGAGGCAGCAGUGGGGAAUUUUGGACAAUGGGCGCAAGCCUGAUCCAGCCAUGCCGCGUGUCUGAAGAAGGCCUUCGGGUUGUAAAGGACUUUUGUCAGGGAAGCGGUACCUGAAGAAUAAGCACCGGCUAACUACGUGCCAGCAGCCGCGGUAAUAC